GGAGCCGUAGCGAAAGCGAGUUUUAACUGAGCGUUCAGUUACUUGACGUAGACCCGAAACCGGGCGACCUACCCAUGAGCAGGAUGAAGCGAAAGUAAAAUUUCGUGGAGGUCCGAACCCACGAGCGUUGAAAAGCUCGGGGAUGACUUGUGGGUAGCGGUGAAAUUCCAAUCGAGCCCGGAGAUAGCUGGUUCUCCCCGAAAUAGCUUUAGGGCUAGCCUCAAGGUGAGAGAUACGGAGGUAGAGCACUGAAUGUCAUAGGGGGUAUUGCACCUACCGAAGACUAUCAAACUCCGAAUGCCGUCAUCUUAUACUUGGGAGUCAGACUGUGGGUGAUAAGAUUCAUAGUCGAAAGGGCAACAGCCCAGAUCGUCAGCUAAGGUCCCUAAAUGUAAGUUAAGUGGUAAAGGAUGUGGGAUUGCACAGACAACCAGGAUGUUGGCUUAGAAGCAGCCACUCAUUCAAAGAGUGCGUAAUAGCUCACUGGUCGAGUGAUCCUGCGCCGAAGAUUUCCGGGGCUAAAACUUACUACCGAAGCUACGGCAUCAGUAAUGAUGGGUAGGGGAGCUUCCCAUACGGGUUGAAGCAUGACCGUAAGGACAUGUGGACAGUAUGGGAGUGAGAAUGUUGGCAUGAGUAGCGAGAUGUGGGUGAGAAUCCCACAGGCCGUAAACCCAAGGUUUCCAGGGGAAGGUUCGUCCGCCCUGGGUUAGUCGGGACCUAAGCUGAGGCCGGAAGGCGUAGGUGAUGGACAACAGGUUGAUAUUCCUGUACUACCGAUAACCAUUUGAGAGAUGGGAUGACACAGUAGGAUAAGCUAAGCACACUGUUGGUUAUGUGUGCCCAAGCAUUGAGGCAGUCAAAGUAGGCAAAUCCGCUUUGAUAAUGCUGGGAUGUGAUGGGGAGCGAAAUUUAGUAGCGAAGUAGCUGAUUUCACACUGUCAAGAAAAGUCUCUAUCGAGGUUAAAGGUACCCGUACCGCAAACCGACACAGGUGGGUGAGGAGAGUAUCCUAAGGCCAGCGAGAGAACUGUUGUUAAGGAACUCGGCAAAAUGACCCCGUAACUUAGGGAUAAGGGGUGCCACCAUCAGGUGGCCGCAGAGAAUAGGCCCAAGCGACUGUUUACCAAAAACAUAGGUUUCUGCUAAGUCGCAAGACGAUGUAUAGGAGCUGACGCCUGCCCGGUGCUGGAAGGUUAAGGGGAUCUGUUAGAGNGGGAUGACACAGUAGGAUAAGCUAAGCACACUGUUGGUUAUGUGUGCCCAAGCAUUGAGGCAGUCAAAGUAGGCAAAUCCGCUUUGAUAAUGCUGGGAUGUGAUGGGGAGCGAAAUUUAGUAGCGAAGUAGCUGAUUUCACACUGUCAAGAAAAGUCUCUAUCGAGGUUAAAGGUACCCGUACCGCAAACCGACACAGGUGGGUGAGGAGAGUAUCCUAAGGCUAGCGAGAGAACUGUUGUUAAGGAACUCGGCAAAAUGACCCCGUAACUUAGGGAUAAGGGGUGCCACCAUCAGGUGGCCGCAGAGAAUAGGCCCAAGCGACUGUUUACCAAAAACAUAGGUUUCUGCUAAGUCGCAAGACGAUGUAUAGGAGCUGACGCCUGCCCGGUGCUGGAAGGUUAAGGGAAUCUGUUAGAGCAAUCGAAGCAGUGAACUUAAGCCCCAGUAAACGGCGGCCGUAACUAUAACGGUCCUAAGGUAGCGAAAUUCCUUGUCGGGUAAGUUCCGACCCGCACGAAAGGCGUAACGAUUUGGGCACUGUCUCAACAACAGACUCGGUGAAAUUGUAAUUCCGGUGAAGAUGCCGGAUACCUGCGACAGGACGGAAAGACCCCAUGGAGCUUUACUGUAGCUUGACAUUGGGUCUUGGUACUACAUGUACAGGAUAGGUGGGAGGCUUUGAAACCAGGACGCCAGUUUUGGCGGAGCCAUCCUUGGGAUACCACCCUUGUAGUACUGGGACUCUAACCAUAGGCCAUGAAUCUGGUCUUGGGACACUGUCAGGUGGGCAGUUUGACUGGGGCGGUCGCCUCCCAAAAGGUAACGGAGGCGCUCAAAGGUUCUCUCAGUACGGUCGGAAAUCGUACGUAGAGUGUAAAGGCAAAAGAGAGCUUGAUUGCAAGACAUACAGGUCGAGCAAGGAUGAAAAUCGGACUUAGUGAUCCGGUGGUUCUGCGUGGAAGGGCCAUCGCUCAACGGAUAAAAGCUACCCUGGGGAUAACAGGCUUAUCUCCCCCAAGAGUCCACAUCGACGGGGAGGUUUGGCACCUCGAUGUCGGCUCAUCACAUCCUGGGGCUGUAGUAGGUCCCAAGGGUUGGGCUGUUCGCCCAUUAAAGUGGUACGCGAGCUGGGUUCAGAACGUCGUGAGACAGUUCGGUCCCUAUCCGUCGCAGGCGUAGGAAAUUUGAGAAGACCUGUCCUUAGUACGAGAGGACCGGGAUGGACGUACCUCUGGUGUACCAGUUGUNNNNNNNNNNNNNNNNNNNNNNNNNNCUGCCAAGGGCAUGGCUGGGUAGCUAUGUACGGAAUGGAUAAGCGCUGAAAGCAUCUAAGCGCGAAGCCAACUUCAAGAUAAGAUUUCCCACCGCAAGGGUAAGACCCCAGAAAGACUAUCUGGUUGAUAGGUCGAAGGUGUAAGUGCAGCAAUGUAUUUAGCUUAUCGAUACUAAUAGGUCGAGGACUUGACCAA
rnacentral:rRNA from 1 species